rnacentral:rRNA from 1 species
ACGCUGGCGGCGUGCCUAAUACAUGCAAGUAGAACGCUGAAGGAGGAGCUUGCUUCUCCGGAUGAGUUGCGAACGGGUGAGUAACGCGUAGGUAACCUGCCUGGUAGCGGGGGAUAACUAUUGGAAACGAUAGCUAAUACCGCAUAAGAGUAGAUGUUGCAUGACAUUUGCUUAAAAGGUGCAAUUGCAUCACUACCAGAUGGACCUGCGUUGUAUUAGCUAGUUGGUGGGGUAACGGCUCACCAAGGCGACGAUACAUAGCCGACCUGAGAGGGUGAUCGGCCACACUGGGACUGAGACACGGCCCAGACUCCUACGGGAGGCAGCAGUAGGGAAUCUUCGGCAAUGGACGGAAGUCUGACCGAGCAACGCCGCGUGAGUGAAGAAGGUUUUCGGAUCGUAAAGCUCUGUUAUAAGAGAAGAACGAGUGUGAGAGUGGAAAGUUCACACUGUGACGGUAUCUUACCAGAAAGGGACGGCUAACUACGUGCCAGCAGCCGCGGUAAUACGUAGGUCCCGAGCGUUGUCCGGAUUUAUUGGGCGUAAAGCGAGCGCAGGCGGUUAGGUAAGUCUGAAGUUAAAGGCUGUGGCUUAACCAUAGUACGCUUUGGAAACUGUUUAACUUGAGUGCAAGAGGGGAGAGUGGAAUUCCAUGUGUAGCGGUGAAAUGCGUAGAUAUAUGGAGGAACACCGGUGGCGAAAGCGGCUCUCUGGCUUGUAACUGACGCUGAGGCUCGAAAGCGUGGGGAGCAAACAGGAUUAAAUACCCUGGUAGUCCACGCCGUAAACGAUGAGUGCUAGGUGUUAGACCCUUUCCGGGGUUUAGUGCCGCAGCUAACGCAUUAAGCACUCCGCCUGGGGAGUACGACCGCAAGGUUGAAACUCAAAGGAAUUGACGGGGGCCCGCACA